AGUGGGGAACCCUUCCAUGAGGAGUAGAACACUCCUUAUGCAAGAUUCCCUUCUAC
ensembl:miRNA